rnacentral:rRNA from 1 species
AUUGAACGCUGGCGGCAGGCUUAACACAUGCAAGUCGAGCGGAGAUGAGGUGCUUGCACCUUAUCUUAGCGGCGGACAGGUGAGUAAUGCUUAGGAAUCUGCCUAUUAGUGGGGGACAACAUCCCGAAAGGAAUGCUAAUACCGCAUACGUCCUACGGGAGAAAGCAGGGGAUCUUCGGACCCUGCGCUAAUAGAUGAGCCUAAGUCGGAUUAGCUAGUUGGUGGGGUAAAUGCCUACCAAGGCGACGAUCUGUAGCGGGUCUGAGAGGAUGAUCCGCCACACUGGGACUGAGACACGGCCCAGACUCCUACGGGAGGCAGCAGUGGGGAAUAUUGGACAAUGGGCGGAAGCCUGAUCCAGCCAUGCCGCGUGUGUGAAGAAGGCCUUUUGGUUGUAAAGCACUUUAAGCGAGGAGGAGGCUACUUAGAUUAAUACUCUGGGAUAGUGGACGUUACUCGCAGAAUAAGCACCGGCUAACUCUGUGCCAGCCGCCGCUGUAA